UACAGAGGGGGCAAGCGUUGUUCGGAAUUACUGGGCGUAAAGGGCGCGUAGGCGGCCCGCUAAGUCGAACGUGAAAUCCCUGGGCUCAACCCAGGAACUGCGUCCGAUACUGGCAGGCUUGAAUCCGGGAGAGGGAUGCGGAAUUCCGGGUGUAGCGGUGGAAUGCGUAGAUAUCCGGAAGAACACCUGAGGCGAAGGCGGCUUGCUGGGCAUGAUCUGACGCUGAGGCGCGAAAGCGUGGGGAGCAAACAGG
rnacentral:rRNA from 1 species